GAUGAACGCUAGCGGCAGGCUUACUACAUGCAAGUCGAGGGGCAGCAUGAUUGUAGCAAUACAAUUGAUGGCGACCGGCAAACGGGUGCGGAACACGUACACAACCUUCCAACAAGUGGGGGAUAGCCCAGAGAAAUUUGGAUUAAUACCCCGUAACAUAGCGAUGUGGCAUCACAUUGCUAUUAUAGAUUUUUCGCUUGUUGAUGGGUGUGCGGCUGAUUAGAUAGUUGGCGGGGUAACGGCCCACCAAGUCUACGAUCAGUAGCUGAUGUGAGGGCAUGAUCAGCCACACGGGCACUGAGGCACGGGCCCGACUCCUACGGGAGGCAGCAGUAAGGAAUAUUGGACAAUGGACGCAAGUCUGAUCCAGCCAUGCCGCGUGAAGGAUUAAGGUCCUCUGGAUUGUAAACUUCUUUUAUAAGGGACGAAAAAAGGCUUUUCUAAGUCGUCUGACGGUACCUUAUGAAUAAGCACCGGCUAACUCCGUGCCAGCCGCCGCAGUAAUAC
rnacentral:rRNA from 1 species